rnacentral:rRNA from 1 species
UCACGGAUCCAGAGUUUGAUUAUGGCUCAGAGCGAACGCUGGCGGCAGGCUUAACACAUGCAAGUCGAGCGGGUGUAGCAAUACAUCAGCGGCAGACGGGUGAGUAACGCGUGGGAACGUACCUUUUGGUUCGGAACAACACAGGGAAACUUGUGCUAAUACCGGAUAAGCCUUACGGGGAAAGAUUUAUCGCCGAAAGAUCGGCCCGCGUCUGAUUAGCUAGUUGGUGAGGUAACGGCUCACCAAGGCGACGAUCAGUAGCUGGUCUGAGAGGAUGAUCAGCCACAUUGGGACUGAGACACGGCCCAAACUCUACGGGAGGCAGCAGUGGGGAAUAUUGGACAAUGGGGGCAACCCUGU